GGGGGCAUGGCGAAAUGGCAGACGCUACGGACUUAAAAUCCGUUGACCUUAAAAGUCGUGAGGGUUCAAGUCCCUCUGCCCCCACCA
rnacentral:tRNA from 2 species